UAUUAAAACCAAUAAUACAUUAAAGUAUGACAUUCGAAGAAUAUUGUAUAAAAUUUUCACGGAGAAAUAUUAAAAAAUAUGACAAUGGCAGCAAUUAUUCGGACGUGCCUCGGAAAAAUGGUAGAAUUGCUCAUAACUUGGUGCUGGGUCAUCUGAAAUCAAAAAAUCAAAGUUCAUUCGUUAGGUAACAGUUUUCCCCAGUUAGCGCUGGGAGGGUUUUUCGAAAUUUCAAUUGUUCACUUUUUUGGAACACUUCGAAGGGAAGGUUAGCCGAUUUUGCGAAAAUUUGCGGCUAAUUUUAAAAAAGUGAAAAAUUGAAAUUUCGGAAAACUCUCCCAGCGUUAACUGAGGAAAACUGUUACCUAACGAAUGAACUUUGAUUUUUUAAUUUCAGAUGACCCAGCACCAAGUUAUGAGCAAUUCUACCUUUUUUCCGAGACACGUCCGAAUAAUUGCUGCCAUUGCCGUAUUUUUUAAUAUUUCACCGUGAAAAUUUUAUGCAAUAUUCUUCGAACGUCAUACUUUAGCGUACUAUUGGUUUUAAUAAAGAGAUUUUAACUGUGUCGUCACAAAUAAUUCAUAAAAACAUGCCUUAUUUUUGUACGAAUUAACCUUAGCCGCUCCUCCCCUUAAAUAUACUUUUCAGUGUGACUAGGUCAACGUGACUAGGUCAACGAAAAUUUCAUACAAUAUUCUUCGAAUAUCAUACUUUAAUGUACUAUUGGUUUUAAUAAAGAGAUUUUAACUGUGUCGUCACAAAUAACUCACAAAGAUAUCCUUUAUUUUAUACGAAUUAACCUUAGCCGCCCCUCCCCUUAAAUAUACUUUUCAGUGUGACUGGGUCAACGUGACUAGGUCAACGAAAAUUUUAUACAAUAUUCUUCGAAUAUCAUACUUUAAUGUACUAUUGGUUUUAAUAAAGAGAUUUUAACUGUGUCGUCACAAAUAACUCACAAAGACAUCCUUUAUUUUAUACGAAUUAACCUUAGCCCACCUUCCCCUUAAAUAUACUUCUCAGUGUGACUAGGUCAACGAAAAUUUUAUACAAUAUUCUUCGAAUGUCAUACUUUAAUGUACUAUUGAUUUUAAUAACAAGAUUUUAACUGUGUCGUCACAAAUAAUUCACAAAAGCAUCCCUUAUUUUUGUACGAAUUAACCUUAGCCGCUCCUCCCCUUAAAUUUACUUUUCAGUGUGACUAGGUCAACGUGACUAGGUCAACGAAAAUUUUAUACAAUAUUCUUCGAAUGUCAUACUUUAGUGUACUAUUGGUUUUAAUAAAAAGAUUUUAACUGUGUCGUCACAAAUAAUUCACAAAAACAUGCCUUAUUUUUGUACGAAUUAACCUUAGCCGCUCCUCCCCUUAAAUAUACUUUUCAGUGUGACUAGGUCAACGUGACUAGGUCAACGAAAAUUUUAUACAAUAUUCUUCGAAUGUCAUAAUUUAACGUACUAUUGGUUUUAAUAAAGAGAUUUUAACUGUGUCAUCACAAAUAAUUCACAAAAACAUGCCUUAUUUUUGUACGAAUUAACCUUUGCCGCUCCUCCCCUUAAAUAUACUUUUCAGUGUGACUAGGUCAACGUGACUAGGUCAACGAAAAUUUUAUACAAUAUUCUUCGAAUGUCAUACUUUAACGUACUAUUGGUUUUAAUAAAAAGAUUUUAACUGUGUCGUCACAAAUAAUUCACAAAAACAUGCCUUAUUUUUGUACGAAUUAACCUUAGCCGCUCCACCCCUUAAAUAUACUUUUCAGUGUGACUAGGUCAACGUGAAGACACAGUUGUGACUUUCAAUGCUAUAAACUAUGCGCAAUAUAAGUGUGUACAAUGUGCGUGUUUGAUGGAACAUAGUAUUGUUCAUUAAAUAUACAAUUUAUUCAUGUGUUCAAUGAAAAAUCUUUUCUCUGGUGAUUCGAACAAAGGCCAGAAUACUCUGCGAUAAUCACUGUAUCUCUAUAUAGAAAUAAACUGUCUUCCGUUUCAAUUAUAAAACACAAAUGAUGGAUAAUUGUACUGCACGUGGUGUAAGAAAUCGUACGUAUUACACACUAAAUGUCAUAUUUUUGAUAUUUCAAAUAAGUUAAACAGGUAAGUUUCAAAUAAGUAAGCUUAUGUAAAUUGAAUAUGACGAAAAAGAUACAAAUACCACAAUAUGAACUCGUAAUAAUAAAUUAUUACUCUAAAUAAUUAUUGCAAACAAAAAGGAGGACUACAGUAAAAAAAAAUCGUAAUAAUAAAUUAUUACUUUAAAUAAUUAUUGCAAACAAAAAGGAAGACUACAGUGAAAAGAAAUCGUAAUAAUAAAUUAUUACUUUAAAUAAUUAUUAUAAGCAAAAGGGAAGACUUAAAAAAAAAAAAAAAAGAUAAACGAAAAUUUUCCUAAACGAGAAGUGUAUCAGAAUUUCUAGUACAUGAAGAAAAUGUAUUUUCGACCAAUCGCGAGAAAACACGUCAGCGGAAGUCGUAAGUUCCCGUUACGAUUAUAAUAAUGCACGCCGCGAAUAGAUCGAUUUCCGUCGAGAUAAUAGGGGCGGUUGAGGUGGUAUAACGCUGCGAUUCGGAGUUAUAAACUAUGUAUUAUCAACAAAUAGAUACAAUGAACUUACGUCGUUGCUUAUGAAGUACAUCGUAGACGAUGAUUUGGCGUAUGAAGAUGCGAUAUACGUGCACAACAUCCUUCGGUGGUAGAGCAAGCCCCUUACAGUUGAGUUUCUUGUUGUAGUUCUUGUUGUAGUUGAAAACUAGCAAUAGAGAAGACUGAUGUUCAGCUCUUAUGCAGUUACGGAGGAAAGCUCGGUGUGGGUGUGUUUUCUUGAACGAAGAAAGCGGAUUCGUUGCUCACACUUUUCGUUAGUAAGGUGGGGGUAACGAUGCGCGAUGCCUAUUGGUUCUAGUCAUGUUAAUAUGUAGCGAGAGGGGAAGGAAACCUUCUACUAACUUUGCUAGGUGAUGUCAUUGUUUACGGGAAAAACCGGAUUUUCCGUUAGAUAAAUAUCCGCUUCUUCCGUUAGGUCACUACCCGUUGUCUCCGUAAUUUCUAAGAGCGUCUAAUAAAUCUAAGGACCUUUCUAAUAACCUGCUUUAAACCGGAGAACUUUCUAGGCUUACAAAGUCCUUCAGGACAAAAGGAUUAACUUGAAAUAUGUGUUAAAAUAAUGACGUUAAAAAUUAAAAUUUUAUGCCGGGGCCUUAGGUUUAUUGAGGGUCUGUCUAAUGGUGCUUGGGCCUUUUGACGGUCAGACAUUGAAGGAUCAUCUUAUGCGACAUAACACACCCCACAACCGAAAUUCAUUGUUUAUUGUGAAUAUUACAUAUAUGUAAUACCAAUCUUCUUGGAGAAUAAACGUUAAAAAAAAAAAGAAAAAGAAAAGAAAAAGAAAAGAAAAAGAAAAAAAAAGAAAACAACGUGGGAAACAAAGAUGUGUCGCAGGUUCCGUGUCCCGUCUAUUCUGUACCUCGUCUGCAAUCGUUUAGGUAGUUUCUCAAUCUUAAUCGAGUAGUUCCGAUAUUUCCAUAUCGGUUUUUCAUAUUUAUGCUACUUCUGUGCUAAGGAAUAUCGUCAUUCUCGUGUAUUAACGUUUUAAUUAUAAAAUACAAAUGACGGAUAAUUGUACUGCACGUGGUGUAAAAAAUGGUACGUAUUACACACUAAAUGUCAUAUUUGUGAUAUUUCAAAUAAGUUUUGAUAUUCUUAUAUCAUUUGUAUCAUUAAGCAUACUUAAGCUUAUGUAAAUUGAAUGUGACGAAAAAGGUAUAAAUACCACAAUAUGAAUUCGUAAUAAUAAAUUAUUAUUUUAAAUAAUUAUUACAAACAAAAAGAAAAACUACAACAAAAAGCAAACGUUCCAAAAAGAGAAGUGUAUCAGAAUUUAUAGUACAUGAAGAAAGUGUUAAAUAUUUAUACGAUAUAUCUUCAUGUUGUACCAAGUUAUAAAAGUUAUACAAAUUUGAAAGAUUUAAAGGAAGAUGAAAUAUACAGUUCCUUAGAAAACGACUUACUGGCUGCAGUACGGACACGAACCAAAAUCAUACUAAAGGCCUCUGGUGAUGUUUCGAGAAAUCGGGGCCUUAUCUUGAUCGGCAGAGCCGUGAAGAUGACAAUUUCUAUAAAAAAUCCUUAAUCUUAAAUUCAGGCACAUGGCGUUGAAAUAUUUCCCAGUCGCGCAGCCUCCUAGAGUCUCUGGAUUAUGAACGCGCUAUGAUCCGGUGAGAACAGCGAGCAAGACCGGGAGGACCUUCGCUCAGAGAUUGCCGCGGUCGACAUAGAAGCAACCUCCUCUUAGAGCAUUUCGAGGAAACAAGAAGCUAUCCCGUCAGCGGUAACGCUAACGCUCAAGGAGCAGUCGAAUAAAACAUACGCGGAGGUUGAGGCGAUAAGGAUGAAGAGUACGUUGAUCGGAGACUUCAUUUUGCAGAUUCCAGAAAUAAAAACAGAGAUAAGGCAUCCGCGUACGCCCGACGGCACUGACUCAGGUACUGGAUUUCGUCUCGCUGGCAGCGACGCGAAAGCUGUUGUAGGGUGACAGAUUCCCUGUAAGAUCGUCGUCGGUAAAGAUCCAAACCAUUGCACGGAAAUAAUAAUAUAAUGCAGCGUUUCAGGUGCCUCGAAGUAGUUGUGUCAUCUCGCCGAUGAACCGAGGACAUGUAUGUUCUGCCUUCGCCCCGAAAUAUCCUUUUUGCGAGGUGCUCGGGGCGCCUACGCCCCGUCGGAUGAGAUGCUCGGCGUGUGCCCUCCCCAGGACGAAGACGAGAAGGCUGGCUCGCCGAUAUACGUGUACGAUAUUUAUUAUAGAACAUAUGAUAAAAAAUAGUGUUGUUAUUGAUUAUGAAAAUUCUGUUGUAUCUAUAUAAUGUAGUAUUGAGGAAUAAUCAUAAGAAAAGAACUCUCUAGGAGUACGAAUUACAAUGUACAUAGGAAGUGGAAAUGUAAACAGGCCAGAAGGGACGUGAAAUUCGAUCGAUGUGUCCGCGGCCUGUAAGAAAAGUAAUUACUUGGAAAGGACGUACGUGAACAUCGUUGGUCAUUAACGGCUACGGAACACGUGUGUGUAGUGGGGGUAUAAAAACUGAUGAUAAGCGGAUGGUAGAGAAAGUCACGAGUCGUGAGUAGUUAUUUGCGAGAUGUGAGUUGUCACUCAGUGGUUGACUAGUUGUGACCAAUUUAGUUAUUUUAUUUGCAUUAUAUUAUUACUUCGAAAAAUAGCUCUAAGUUAAAAAAUUAUAGUUUGCCGUUGCAAUCAUUAUAAAUAAAUCUAUCGAAUAAAUAACCUUUAAUAAGGUAUCAUGUUAAAAAAUUUUAAAAGUUAUCACUAUAUUUUUUCAAGUUUAACCUACAAUAUAUUAAAUUCUACGUUUAAUUCUGUUCUAGGAUGAACAACUAUGGUAGAGUCGCAUAUUCAUAUUGCAAUUGUAUUCUUCACAAUUUCAUAGUAAAAUUUAACUUUAAUUCCAAACACAAUGUUGAGAUUUUUCAUCGAAUACUUAUUAGAUUCUAAAUAUUGUUAUUGCGCUGUAUGUAUAUAUUCUACUAUAUCAGUACUUUAUUAAUUUUAAAUUGGAUUUUAUCAUUGAAUAAAGAUUAAUAUGUAUGAGAAAUAAACUUAUUUUUACAUAAUUUUUGUUUCAAUUAUUGGCAAAUCUUUAUCAUUUUAUUUCACAUUCUCUCUUUCGUUCUCUAAAUCCACGUGAAUAUUGUUAAAACGAGUAACGUAGAUGGAUUGCACAUACAAUAAUGCUACGAUACUUGCCGCUCACGAUGGAUCUCCUAAUUACAUGAAAGUCAUCGCUCACUGAUGGUGGAGUUUCCCUCAAGAGGCCCUGGUCUUAAUGUUCUCUUUAACAUAGCGCGAAACUCGACAGCUGAGUACUGUAAGAUAAGACAAUGUUAAUAUUAUUUUUAAUAUUUGUCGAGUAAAAGUUUCAUCAAUGUUACAACGAGCUUUUUCUAAUUAAAAUAGAAUUAGAUAUAAUAUGAAGCAUAGUUGCUCAUUUAAUUACGUCAGUGUGUAUCUUUUUCGUCUAUUACAUAUGCAUAUACAUGUAAUUUAUAUCGUGUUCGAUCUUAUUUUAAUUGAAAAAACUUUACAAGUGCGUUGAUAAAAAUUUAAUUGAAAAAAGGAAUUCUUAUUAUUGAAUUAGUAUUCUCUUUGUAAGCACUUGAAUGCGGAUCAAUUUACGCUCUAACCGAUACAUGUACGAUAUAUAAUAUAUAGGUACAUAUAGUAAUAUAAUAUAAUAAUAUAGUAUAGUAUAGUAAUAUAGUAAUAUAAUAUAGUACGAUAGAGUUGAAAAAUACGUGUUGGUGGGGCGUGCCGCUUCCAGCUCAACACUUAGCUCGCAUUUCUUCCAAGUAAAAUCUCAGCUUCUUAUUGUAUAUACGACUGUAAUCGUGGUCGCGAUCAUUCGAUUGUCUGUACCACCAUUGCCACUCUAUUCUCGUGGUUAUGUCACAUGGCAUGAAAGUUCUAUUUUUGCAUGAAAUAAUAAAAAUUCCGACAGAGCUAAAUUUUGGUAGAGAUCUUGGGUACACCAGUAGAAAUAAAGUGCCAAAAGUCCCCAUCGAUUCCAUGGGUGCUAAAAAAAGUUAUUCAAGGUCAAAGUCAAAAUUUUCGGAUUUUUUAAAUUUUUCUUGAAAACGAUGAGUUUUAUCGAAAAUAUAGCCCAGACAAAAAUUGUAGAUCAUAAAAUUAUCUACAAAAACGUUCCUAGUACUUUUUUCCCUAAGAGUCACCAUUCCUAAGAUAUCGCCAUUCUAAAAGUUGAAGGAGUUACAUUCUACAUGAUGAUUACCAGUUUACAUUGGAUGAACUAGAAAAUGUUAGUAAAAAUGUAGCUUUAGAUAACAGAACUAUAAAAAUACGAUUGAAAGUAAAGUAUGGUAGUAGAAUUAUUAUUAGAGAAAAGCUGGGAAAAUUAACAUUUAUUUGUUUCUUCGACAAUUACCAAGACAUUUUAAGUCAAGCUUGACCUGAUAAAAAAACUGGAAUGAAAAAGGACGGUUAAGAAUUUUGAAAGCCGCGGCAGCAAUUAUUCGUGACGAUAUUCAAUCUUGUAUGUUUGAUAAUAUUAUAUACCCCCCACCGAGUAGAAUGUUCGAGAAUAUAAACACCGAUAUCCCGGAUUCAUUAUCAUAUUUUUUGGAACGAGUCAUUCCUAAAAUUUGAGGUUAGUUUGUACAAAUAUUAGCCAUAAAACUCCGUCCUAACAGAUCGUGGAAUAGGCUUAUUGGGGAAACCACGUUAAAAAAAAAAGCACCAAGUACCUAUAGAUGGUGUGGAAAUGUGUGCAUAUCACGUAAAAUGUAACUCCACCAACUUUUAGAAUGGUGAUAUCUUAAAACUUAUCGUUUUCAAGAAAAAUUAAAAAAAUCCGAAAAUUCUGACUUUGACCUUGAAUAACUUUUUAGCACCCAUGGAAUCAAUGGGGACUUUUGGCACUUUAUCUCUACUGGUAUACCCAAGAUCUCUACCAAAAUUUAUCUCUGUCGGAAUUUUUGUUAUUUGAAAUGUCUAUUUUGACCGGACUAAUAUUUACUCUCUUAUCUCAUUGCAGAGACUAUAGAUAAGAUAGAAUUUCGUUUUCAUUCUAUCAUAUCUCUCCUACCAUCGCACGCAUUGUCGCUAUGGUGAUAAAAAUCGACGGCAACUAUAUCGAACCCAAGUAACAUAGAAGGAUGACUCGACAGCAUUGGCGUAGCCUGCUAAAUAAAGUGUCAUUUAUUACUAAACUAAAUAAUUUCUUUACUUUAUAUAUAAUAGUAUGUACACAGUUUGUCCCGAAGAUAGGCGAGCUUUUUAAAAAUAAUAAUGCAGAGGCAUCGUUUCUAAGAAAAUGUUUUAUUUUAUGCAAAACACAUUUCUCCUGUCGCGAUACACGUCCUAUUUGCAUGCCCACUAAUGCGUCAAGACGUGUGUGUGAUGCGUGUGUGAAAUUUGUAUAAACAGUGUUUGUGUGUUAUGUUAUUAAAUAGGUUUUGGAGUUCGAUAUUUAAUUGAUUCACACAGAUUCAGUUUUUAUAUUCUGUAUUUCACCACCAUGUACAGUCAUAUAAACACACUGGAUACUCUCUGAUAAUUAACACGUGGCGGACGUGAAAACAAAAAAGCGUCGUUAGAAGUCGUACCAACUUUGCAUGUAGGAACUAGCGAUCAUACCAAUCUAAUAUUUUCCUCAACAUGCUAUUAUUUAUUAAUUAUGUAUGGAGACAAAGGAUUGAAGGGAACAUUAAUCUUCUUUACUCGAAAGUUCCAUGAGGCGGUUUUCGACAUCCUGUUAUGGAUUUUAAUGUGUAGACCUACGAUUGAUAUUACUCGAAAUUCAGAUGCUAUUGCAUAGAUUUAUUCAAAAUAAUGUCACCUUCGACAAUUAUCUGGGAAGAAAUCUUAACGCCAAUAAUAAUGAGCGAUUAUAUUUUAAAGUGACAACGAAUACGGGAAGAAACGAAAAUCAUGACCUAUAGAAUAGAUAUAAACUAGGUAUGGAAGGAAAUACGCUGCCAGUAAGAAUAGUUGUAACGGUGUUCUUUAUGCCAUGGGAGGAUUUCAAGUCAAUCCCCAUUGAGAAAAAAGAAGCAAUGUAAAAAAGAAUAAAAAAUUAAAUUUGUAAACGUUUUAUACACACAUUUAUUAUGAUAAAUGAAUUAUUAUUAUAAGAGCGAUGAUUUUACUUAUUCUUCUGAGUUAUUCAUUAAAUUACUUUCUCUUAUUAGUGAUUUGCAAAAAAAAAAAAAAAAAUAAUAAGACAACAUAAAUAUAUCGAGAACAAAAUUUUUAGCGAGAGAUUAAUAAAUAAAUUAAAGAAUUUUGUUAAUUUUCUAUAUAUACUAAUGAUGAGCGAUAUUGAUGAUUCAGAGAAAUUUAAUUUUUCUCCAUAACAAUAAUCAUAAUAAAAAGCAUAUUUUUAAUAACACUCUGAGGCAAAUGUCUCAUCUUCGCUUCAAUUCUUAUUUCUAGUUUCGAAUGACACGAUUCUCAAAAGAUAAACUUGGUCAUUUUAUUUCUACUUCAAUUUUUAUUUCUAUUUUUGUUGUAUGACAAAAUUGUAAAUAUUCAUCAAUGUCACGCUGAUAGAAAGAAUAUGAUGUAACGCUAUAAAUUAAUUUCUUGUACUAACAGAUGUAUUCAAUAAUAAUAUGUACAAGAAAGAGAGCCUGUAUCUACUUACCUGUAGCUUGUCGAUAUUUUUAUAUCAAAUGAAGCAGAAAAUAGGCAUAGUGACCAUUUAGUAUUAAUUUGUACGUAUUGUGAUUGUGUAUUUUUACUCUAUAUUUUACCUUUAUAAAUAAUUUAUUGAAACGGUAGAUUAUUUAGUAAAAUAAAUACAUGAACAAACAA